GUGGACUACUGGAGGGGAAGGACUUUGGGUGGAGGUGUCAGCUGAAGAGCCAUCACAGCCUUUGCCUGGGGGAACUGGAGACCCUGAGAGCCAGACUGGAGGGCUGCAGCUGACAGAGCCACAGUGAACCACCUGUGCUGAGGAGCCCUGAUGCUCAAUGGACUACAGUGUCUGGAAGUGUGGUAGGAAGUGACCCAGGGAGGGUCCAUGACUGGUAGCUCCCACCUGAGUGAGAAUGGAGUCCGCCACCAGCACCGCAGCAUUUCUAAAGCAAACCAUAGCUCCCAAACUGAUCACGAGGGAACCAAAAAGCCAAGCCUUUUGCCAGCGGUCAGCUGCAGGCCUUCAGAGUAUUAAAUGCUUCUACACAAAGAGAAAAACCUGGGUGGAUAAGAACAUAAAAGGCAAUCAGGGGGACUCUACUCUUUCCUCAUGCAUUUUUAAUUAGCAUAGCAAGCCAAUCAGUGGGAGCACUUACUGAUGGGAGAUGCCAGCCUUGAUUGAUGUCACAUGUGUUCUAUCAGACUAAUUGAAGCAACCUGCCACACCAAAAAAAAGGAGCCUUGAAGACCAUGACAAAAACGAAGCAAAUUCAGGAAACAAGAAUGCCAUUCCAAGAAGGAGGCAACCAGUCUCCCUAAUGCAAAGCAGAGCAGCUCUGCAGCUUGGUGAGUCUCUCCGAACUUCAAAUGUGAACUAUUUGCCUUCAGCUAAGACCUCUAAAUAAAAAGCAUGCUGGAGAGCCAACAAAUACAGAAUAUUCUGUGUUUAUCCUUCUCUCCACAUGCUGAGAGGACAAGCUUCCAUUGUCAAGGGGACCCCUGAUAUUGGAAACUGGAUCCAGGUGCAGCUCCUCCCAAAGGAUAUAAUGCUCUCUGUUAACCCAUAUGAGAUAGCCAGAUGGACAAGGAACCAGCCACCAGCACUAUAUAGCAGAGAUGGACUAGUAAGGGACCUCAGAGCUCCUGUGCCCUAAGAAAGAGAAAUAAUCAGAACCAGGAAGAGUCCACUUAUUGACUCUAAAUUCCAUUUGGAAGUGGAGCUCUCAGCUGCUUGGCCAGCAGUGCCCCAUUUUGUGAACAGAAUAUUCACCACCCCACUCAGCAGCCAAGGAUGGGACACGGAAUGAAAGCUUCAUCAAGAGAAAAAACAGUUGAUCAAUACCUUACAAUGCCAUUUCCCAGAUAGCUCAGCUUUGUUCCAUAAAAUCCAGGCCCAAGUAAAAACAUGCCCCGCCUGAAGAAUGUCUUGCUUUUCCAUGUUCCCUUGGCAUCACUUUGGGCUCUCAAAACACUCCUAGAAACACAACCCAUUCCUUCCCCGUCCAUUCUCCCACACUGGCUUCUGUUUCAGCAAAGCAGGUAAGAAUUUUGGCUGCAACCAGCCAAGCCAUGUAAAGUUCUGAGGGUGAGUCUGAUCCUUGCUUUUAUCAGGAAGAGCAUGCCAGCUAAGGUGGUUUUGAGUAUAUCAGACUGUCAGAGCCAGUGUCUGGCUCAAGUUUUAUUGAACUCCUCAUGACCGGUUUCCUCUCUAGAAUACUGCUCAGAACGUUAGCUGCCUGGAGACUGUCAAGCAAAGAUCUAAAUCUUUCUAGAGAAAGUCCUUUCAGUCUGUGGAGUCAAGAAAGGAUGUUCUGCUGGGUCAUGAGUUCCACUGAACUUCCUGUCAUCCCACACCAGCUCCUAGUGAUCCACUAAAAAUAAAAAGUUUUCAUGACACUGAGAUGCUCUCAGCUGACGACAUCACUGUGCUUUACAUACCCUUGUUGUCACAGCACCUUGUGAGCUCAGUAAAUGUGAGUCCAUUUUACACAUGGGGCUCUGUGCCUCCAUUUCCCUAAGGGUCAGACAAUGGCAGUGCUGGGAAUACAAUGGAGAAGUCCUGAUUUCCACCGAAGCAGUUUCACCACUGUGAAUGUCCCACUUUUUUUUUUCCCCUCCAGAAACUAGACAGGAGACUGAGCUGCAAAAUCUGGGUCUGGAUUCAAACUUCUCCCACAUCUUGGGAUAUUUGGACCCAGGGUUUUGGUUGACAGCCCUCACUGUGGACAAAUACGCUGCAUGUACAUUGAUCAAACAACUGGCAUUGCUCCUGUGGAAUAGCGAACUCAGGCAAAAGGGCUAGGACCCUUGUGGAAAAGCUCCCUAUGCUGCAGAGGCCUGGCAAGCCUUUCAUGUUCCUGGGCUGAUUUUUCUCCUUUUUUGCCCUUUGUUUUUAAAUAUACUCUAAAGUACUGGGCCCGGGGUGCAGGGGAGGGGAUAUUUGGGCCACCCUGGUGAGAGGAACCUCAGAGUUAAAGCAUGGAUCUGAGAAGGGUCCUGGGCAGGAGGUCUCACUCCAUCCUUCACUCUGCUUUCCCUCCUGCACUUUCGCACUCAUGGGGUCCCCAGUAUGACUUAAACCCCCACCAGAAACAGAGUCUGCCUCCUCCACAAUGCUCCAAGUUCUGCCAGUUUAAGGCAUGACAAGAGAUUAAGGCAAGAAAUUGAAGAGAAGGGGAUUGUUACCUUAGAAAGGGGGUGGAUACGAGGCCACAUGAUAUAGCUCUAUAAAAUAGUGAAUGGUCCAGGGAGGGCAGAUGGGGGAGCCUCUGUUCCCCUGCCUCAUAACAGGAAAAAGGGAGCAUUCCAUGACAUUAAAAGGUGGGAAAUUCACAAUCACUUAAGCCUUAAAUAUUCAUGGAAACCUGGCCCUAGGUGCUUAACAGUGUAGGUAGGCACCAAGUGGGAUUGUCCAAGGUACCAAAAUUAGUUAGGGGCCUGUAAUAGGACAGUUUGCCCAAGGGCUGGAGAGCCUGGAACUAAGCCAAACCUGAUUACAAGAUGAGCCCCACGUGAGCAGAAUCAGGGGAUUCCCAUAUAAAGGGCAGGAGGAAGCUGCAGGAAUGGGUGUGAGAGAGAAGCAGCCAAGACCACAAAACAGGAGACUCUGUGGAGCUGGGGCUAGUGAAAGGGGAGAGGCUGAUUCCUGCAGAGCCCUGGCCAGAUAAAGGCUGGGAGUUAAAGCUGGGAAGAUGAGCUGAAAAAUCUUUGUUCAUUUUGGACUUUUGAUUUCUGCUUUUUUUUUUUUUUUUUUUUUUUUGACCAACUAUUGCCAGCCUGAAGCAAACUGGUGAAGAGUGAAUUAAAGGGUGUGAGUAUAGAAGGUCACUGGAGACCUACUUCUUAGAGGGGCCUGGAUGAAGAGUAAAUAGAGACAAGACAGCCACCAAGGCAACCCUGCAUGCAAAGGGGCUCCUGCAGGGCAGAUCUGACAGUGAGCAAUUUAUUGAGUGAUCCAUCCCUGUUGUCCACUCCCGGCAAUGACGGAUUUUGCUGUAUGACAUCUAGAAGAGCCAUCUGAAGGGGAGAUUUAGCAUUUCUCAUGGAGUGACCUGGGCAGCUACCUCAAUGAAAAAGGUGGAAGAAAUCACUGAGGAGAUCUUUGGCAGAGAAAGAUACUGAAAGAAAUACUCCCGGCAGACUGCCCAGCAUAAAGCUGUAAGUAAAUAUUAAGUCUGUGAAGUCCAACUACUACAGUAAAUCUUGCUGACAGUAUAAACUGAGAGCUGCUUUUCAAGCAGCAAAAACAUCCAUAAUUGUCCAGAAAGGAAGAGAGUUUUAUUACCAGUUGCAAAAUCAAUGAAGGAGGGCUGAUUUUCAGCUGGCUUCUUAAUUUCAGCCUGCCUGUUUCCUGGGUAAUGACAGCUCUUACAUCAGGACAGUAGUGCUCAGACCAUGGACAAUGUGAGUCAAGUGACUGUAUCAGUCACACAGGGACAGGGCUGUUUAUUCAGAUUUUAUAACUGAGAAAUAAUUAAGGCCGUAAUGAAUCACUCUUGUACAAUCUUCAGUGUAGCCUGGCUCCAUGGCAUGUGUAAUUGCAUGUCUGCCCAAACCUCCUCCAAUAAUAUGCUAUAAUUAGGGCCACUUUUGUGUAGUCUCUUUAUAUUUCACUUAAAUAGCUUAAUCAUGGCAUCUGACCCUACAGACCCUCUCACGAGGAGCCCCUGCUGAAGGCAAGGGAAGUCCUACAUGUAGGGGCAGGCCCAGAAAAAGCAGCUUUAAAAACUAAUCAUGCAAGAUCUUUCCCAUAUAUGAGACAUCAGUGAAAGGUGCAGUUAAAGCAUCCCACAACUGAUCUUCACUGCCACAGAUUGAGGAGUUCUGUAAGGCCCUGAAGCAUGGUAAGGCAGUAUAUUACAAAAUGGAAAGGGAAUUGGUGUUGGACACCAGCUCCCUUGCAUCGAUUGCCAUGGCAUAACUCUCAGAGCCACUGAGUGCUCAGGUACAGAAAAAGGUGAAUUGUUUUCAGUGGGUUUUAAACCCCCAUAGAACAUCUUUCUAUGUUUAUUUAGCAAUGAGUUUACUGCUGGUGUGUUUUGGGGAGCGUGGGGGGCGGUGGAUUUGCCAUCCUGGAGGAUGGAGUCCCAGUUUGUGCCAAUAACAGGUACCAGCUGGACAGCUGUAAUUCAGACGUCCUGGACAUUGUGACACAGGAAUGCACCUUACUCACACUUAUAUUCCUUCAGACUCCAAAGCUCCUGCAGUCUAUGCACUCCUUGCUGAGAAGACCAGGAGAGCUGCUGCUGAUAGGAAUACAGGAAUAUAGGCACUGCCAGAUGGGGUCAGGCCCACAGUCCAUCUAGUCCCCUAUCGUGUCUGAUGGUGCCCAGAGCAGAAGAAGGUGUAAGAACUCUCCAGUAGCAUAUGGGGGGGUGAAAUAAUCUGCCGCCCACAGUGGGAUCAGGAUGAGAUCUAGUAGUUACAGAUUGGUUUAAGCCCUGAAGCAGAAGGUUUAAUAUCCAAAUACCCUUCCAAAAGUAUUGUUACUAACAGCAGUUAUAACUCUGGAUGGUUCUGUUACCCAUAUAAAUGUCUGAUCCUUUUGUGAACCUUGCCUCAGUUCUUGACCUCAGUAACUUCGACACUUUUAAUUCUGUGUUCCAUGAGAAAGUAUUUCCUUUUAUCGAUUCUGAAUUUGACACAUUUUAAGAUCAUUACAUAUGCUCUAGCUCUUCUUCUAGAGACAGGGAGAAGAGAAGCCCCAAUCUACCUUCUUUAGAACCGUUCCUAGUUUGGACACUUGCCCAGUAAGCAAGCUCCUUUCUAGCAAACCAUUGCCUAAGUUAGAAAC